UAGUAAGAGACAGUCAGGAUUUAAACAUGAGCCAAAUGACUGCAGUGCCCACAGUGUGAACUCCUCUGCCACACUGGGCUUGGGACCUGACACUGUCUGCCAUGACAGCAUGACUGGAGCUGGCUCCUUCAGGCCUUUGAGCUGCAGGUGCAGGAAAGAACAGAAAGCAACAUUAAGAAACAGAUGUAUACUCACCAGCGAGUUCUCUUAAACUGGAACAUCUUGCCAUAUUAGCUACAAAGGAGUUUAAAGAAAUGAAACGUUGUAGAUAGAGUUGAAGCCUGCAUUGUAACAACAGUAACAACAGAUAACCAUGAAUCCCUUGAGAUGUGCUGGACACUUCACAAAUAUUGAUCAGCUCAUUCAAUCCCUGCAACUGUUUGAGGUAAGUGAUAGAAUCCUUAUUGGGUAGAGGGAGAAGAUGAGGUACACAGAAAUUACAUAAUCACCAACGUCUCACUUGUUGGCGGGGAAGCUGAUAUCUGAAAUUGAUCCUGAGUUCUUAACUACUAUGCUCCACUGACUUUGGUACAAAGAAUAUUCUUGUCUCCUUAUAAACAUUUGUAAGUGUUUCCACCAUGCAGUGUUUCUCAACAGUAGCUGUACACUAAGGAAGAAUUUAAAAAUGAACAUACCUGCAGGCACCACACCUGGACAAUCUAAUUUCAUUAAUCUGUUUUUUGUUUGGUUUGGUCUGGUUUAAUUUCUAGCUUGCCUGGCAAUUCUAACGUGCAUUCAGGUUUCAGAACCAUUACCUCAAGCAAUGUAAUUCCACAUGGAAUUACAGGAUCUUCACAUUUCAUCUAUAUGACAAAAUUGCCCUUUAAUGGACCAGUUCAUACCACUAUCAAUGGUAUGUGAGGACCUGUACUUAUUGCCUCCCUUUUGGUUCUUGAUGUUGUAAUUCAUGCUCAUGCUCUUACUUUCUCUGAUUGGAACUGCUAGAAAAUUGCUCAUUUUAUUAAUAUUUCCAAAGAAUAACUUUUGGCUUUGAUUUUCCACUGUUGUACAAUUUUUCCUUUUUCAUUGAUUUUGGUUCUUUAUUUUUUCAUUUCCUCUUCUAUGCUUCCUUUUUUUUUUUUUUGAGAUGGAGUCUCACUCUGCCUCCCAGGCUGGAGUGCUGUUAUGCGAUUUUAGCUCACUGCAACCUCUGCCUUCUGGGUUCAAGUGAUUCUCCUGCCUCAGCCUCCUGAGUAGCUGGGACUGCACACUUGUGAACAUGGUCUCUGAGCCUCAUAUUGCUUUACUUGUGAGAUAUAUAUAUAUAUAUAUAUAUUUUUUUUUUUUUUUUUUUUUUUAGUAGAGACAGGGUUUCACCAUAUUGGCCAGGCUGGUCUUGAACUCCUGACCUCAAGUCAUCCGCCCAUCUCAGCCUCCCAAAGUGCUGGGAUUACAGGCAUUAGUUACCAUGCCUGGCCUAUGCUUCCUUUUGUUUUCCAUUUUUCUAGCUUUUCUUUUUUUUUUUUUUUGAGAAGAAUUAGAUAAAUUUUUUUUAAGUUUUCUCCCUUUCUAAUGUAUGCAUUUGAAGCAAUAUAUUACUCUCUAGGGACUGCUUUAGUUGCACUGCAAAAAUUUUGUUAUGCAAAACCUCUUAUCUUUAAUGUUCAGUUCAAAAAGUUUCUAUUUGCUGUGAUGGUUUUUUCUGUGACUCAUAGAUUAUUUAAAAGUGUAUUGCUUAAUUCACAAGUAGUUGGUGAUUUUAAAAUUCUCUAAGUAAGUAUUUCUAUCUUAAUUUUACUGUGAUCUGAGAAUACAAUGUGAAUAGUUAUAAUUCCUUGAACUUUACUGAGGUUGACUUUGCAACCCAUUAUAUGGUCAAUUUGGAGACAUGUUCAUGUACACUUGGCCAAUAAUAUGGUCCAUGCUGGGCGCAGUGUUCAAUGUGUCAAUUAAUUUAAGUUUGUCAUUUUGUUUUGGUUUUCUUUAUGUAUAUUUUUCCCGUUUGAUCUAUCUGCUGCUGUGAGAAGUGCGAAAUGUUCCUAUCAUUGUGAAUUUCUUUAUUUCUUCUUUUGGCUCUGUCAGUUUUGCUGUGUCUGUCUUGAAGCUAUAUACAGAUUCAGAAUUCUUAUUUCUUCCUGAUAAUUUGACCCCUUUUUCAUUAUGUAAAUGUUCCUUUUCUUUAGCAGUGUUAUUUUGCCUUAAACUCCACCUGAUAAGUAGUACAUGUAGCUAAACCAGUUUUCUUUUGGUUAAUAUGGACAUGGUACGCAUGUUCUAUCCUUGUAUUUUGUAUAUUUCUGUAUCUUUAUAAUAAUUAUAUGACUCUUGUAAGCAUAAAAUGUUGUUCAAAUUGCUUUUAUAUCUAAUCUGAUGAUCUCAGGGUUUUAAUUGAAAUAUUUAAUACAUUUGCAAUUAAACUAAGCAUGAAUAUACUUGAAGUUCAAUCAAUCUUCUUAGUAUUUGCUUUCUAUUUGAUUCAUCUAUUUAUUGUAUAUUCCUAUUUCUCUUCUUCUCUUGGCCUUUCUUUAGGUUAACUAUCCUUUAGAUUAUUCCCUUUAUCCCUCUAUUAAGUUGUUAUAUAUUUGUUACUAUUCUUUAGUGGUUACCCAGUGAUUAGAAUGUGGAUCCUUGAUCUAUUGUAGUCUAAAAUGACAGAAAAUCAUGAAUGUAAUAAUCACAAUUUGAGUAUCCCAAGGUCCUAGCUCUAUGAGGGAACUGGGAAAAGGAAUAGUUUGUACUAGAUUUGUAGUAAGUCAAGGAUGUGUGCAGUAACCAUUAAAAUGCUAAAAGGAAACACAUACUGUCCUAUAAUUCCAAGUCCAGCAAAAGUAACUUCAAAGAUGAAAGCAAAAUAAAAAUACCUCAGGUAAAAUCAAGAGCUAACUUAAUAUCGGUAUACCUGCACUAAACACCAAAGGGUGCUCUUUGGGCAGAAGAAAAUGAUCCAAGAUUACAAUAUGGAAAUGCAGGAUAGAAUGAACAGCCAAAGUUUCAUAUAAAUGUAGAACUGAAAUUCCUAAACACAAUACUGCAAAACACGGGGUGGGGGGGUGGCGGGUGGGCACACCCCCACCACUUAAAACAGAGAAUUUUAAGUUUCUCUGUUUAUGGGGAAGUAGAAUGCAAAUAAUUUAGCAUUUUAGCUCUCCAGGUCAUACAGCUUCAGAAUUCAGCAAAUGUCUUGAGCAGAGCAGUGCUUUCAGGAAAGGGUCAGAUAGUAAACACUCGAGGCUUUGCAGGCCAUGUGGUCUCUGCUGAAGUCCGCUGUUGCAGCAUGGAAGCAGACACGGACAAUCUGUAAAUGCAUUGACAUGGCUGUGUUCCAGCAUCACUGACUUGAAAUGCCAUGUUUGGUAGAUCUGGUUUGGUGUAUAUAUAGUGCUUAUAUCUGAGUGUGUCUAUUUCUGGAAUGCAAAACUGUGUCUUUGGACUAUUUGUUUAUAUCUCAGUUAUUAUGGCUUAAAAUUAAUCUUUAUAUCUGUUAGAUAAAAUCCUCCGACUUGUUCCUCAAAAUUGUCUGAGCUAUUCUUAACUUUUUGCUCUACCGUGUGUAUUUUAAGACCAGUUUUGCCAAGUUCCUAAAAAGCCCUGCAGGGCUUUUCAGGGGUAAUGGAAGUCUUGGUUGGGGUGAUGGUUACACCUGAUCUAGAUGUUUGUCAAAACUCAUCAUACUGCACACUUGAAAAUGGGUACAUUUGAUUUAAUGUAAGUUAAAUCUUAAUAAAAUUGAUUUUAG
rnacentral:lncRNA from 10 species